UACAGAGGUGGCAAGCGUUGUUCGGAAUUAUUGGGCGUAAAGGGCGCGUAGGCGGCCCGGUAAGUCAAAGGUGAAAUCCCUCGGCUCAACUGAGGAACUGCCUUUGAAACUGUCGGGCUUGAGGCCGGGAGGGGGUAGCGGAAUUCCCAGUGUAGCGGUGAAAUGCGUAGAUAUUGGGAGGAACACCGGUGGCGAAGGCGGCUACCUGGACCGGUUCUGACGCUGAUGCGCGAAAGCGUGGGUAGCAAACAGG
rnacentral:rRNA from 1 species